rnacentral:ncRNA from 1 species
AGGUUAAUGACAAAGUGCUCGUAUCGGUGAAAACAGGCAGAUCGUAAAGACGCCGUAAACCCAUCCCUGGGGGCUCGACCCGCGCCAUCCCUGGCGCGGACACUUU